rnacentral:rRNA from 1 species
AUUGAACGCUGGCGGCAUGCCUUACACAUGCAAGUCGAACGGUAACAGGUUAAGCUGACGAGUGGCGAACGGGUGAGUAAUAUAUCGGAACGUGCCCAGUCGUGGGGGAUAACGUAGCGAAAGCUACGCUAAUACCGCAUACGAUCUACGGAUGAAAGCGGGGGAUCGCAAGACCUCGCGCGAUUGGAGCGGCCGAUAUCAGAUUAGGUUGUUGGUGAGGUAAAAGCUCACCAAGCCUGCGAUCUGUAGCUGGUCUGAGAGGACGACCAGCCACACAGGAACUGAGACACGGUCCAGACUCCUACGGGAGGCAGCAGUGGGGAAUUUUAGACAAUGGACGCCAGUCUGAUCCAGCCAUUCCGCGUGCAGGAUGAAGGCACUCGGGUUGUAAACUGCUUUUGUACGGAACGAAAAGGCUCUGGUUAAUACCUGGGGCUCAUGACGGUACCGUAAGAAGAAGCACCGGCUAACUACGUGCCAGCCGCCGCAGUAA